rnacentral:sRNA from 1 species
GACCCUGUACACGUAUCCUGAAAACUGGAGGGCCUUCAAGGCUCUCAUCGCUGCUCAGUACAGCGGGGCUCAGGUCCGCGUGCUCUCCGCACCACCCCACUUCCAUUUUGGCCAAACCAACCGCACCCCUGAAUUUCUCCGCAAAUUUCCUGCCGGCAAGGUCCCAGCAUUUGAGGGUGAUGAUGGAUUCUGUGUGUUUGAGAGCAACGCCAUUGCCUACUAUGUGAGCAAUGAGGAGCUGCGGGGAAGUACUCCAGAGGCAGCAGCCCAAGUGGUGCAGUGGGCCACUGAGAAUGCAAAGGAGGAAGUGAGGCGAAUUCUGGGGCUGCUGGAUGCUUACUUGAAGACGAGGACUUUUCUGGUGGGCGAACGAGUGACAUUGGCUGACAUCACAGUUGUCUGCACCCUGUUGUGGCUCUAUAAGCAGGUUCUGGAGCCUUCUUUCCGCCAGGCCUUUCCCAAUACCAACCGCUGGUUCCUCACCUGCAUUAACCAGCCCCAGUUCCGGGCUGUCUUGGGGGAAGUGAAACUGUGUGAGAAGAUGGCCCAGUUUGAUG